AAACCCUCACCUUCAAUCUCAGCUCCAGUGAUGAAGGACUGUACUACUGCAGGGCAGAACAUCCACAGGGGGGAAAGGAGUCUGCUGCUGUAACACUAGAGAUUAAAGGCCAAAGUUUCCUGACGAUAGUAAUCACGGUAAAGUGUUUGGCAGCAUUUCUCUUAACCAUCUUGGUCAUUCAUGUUGAGAGGUAUGGUUUAAAAAAUGUUUUCUCAUUGUGUAAUGGUUAAGAUUUUUAGAAUAUUAUACACUUUUUUAUGAAUUCAUAAUUUGAGUGUGCAAAUUUCAGAAAGUAAUUGUCUAUGAAAAACAUCCGAUGUCUUUAUAGUUUGCCCUGUCAAGUGAAAGCACUCUACAUUUUAUAUUGAAAUACAAUGUUGAACUGGAAAGACAGCAGAUAAAACUGUUCAAAGUGUCUCCUUCUCUAUUCACUUAGCAGCAAGUCUUUUAUGUUUCUUUUUGGUUUUAGCUGGCAAAAAUCCCAUCAGGAAAGAAAACCAGCUGAUCCUGAUGAUGUGGAAUGUGAUGAUCCAGACGGGCCCUCUGAAGGGCACCAGAGGGGGAGAGGAGGACCGGGGUCCAGACAGAGAGUCUGAGCCGGCGCGGAGAGCAUCAAUUGCAGCGCAAGCCAUCCAAGGCUGUGAUCUCAACUUUACAGUGCAGCGCCUCUGCU